rnacentral:rRNA from 1 species
GAUGAACGCUAGCUACAGGCUUAACACAUGCAAGUCGAGGGGAAACGAUAGAGAAAGCUUGCUUUUUCUAGGCGUCGACCGGCGCACGGGUGAGUAACGCGUAUCCAACCUGCCCAUCACUUGGGGAUAACCUUGCGAAAGUAAGACUAAUACCCAAUGAUAUCUCUAGAAGACAUCUGAAGGAGAUUAAAGAUUCAUCGGUGAUGGAUGGGGAUGCGUCUGAUUAGCUUGUUGGCGGGGUAACGGCCCACCAAGGCAACGAUCAGUAGGGGUUCUGAGAGGAAGGUCCCCCANAUUGGAACUGAGACACGGUCCAAACUCCUACGGGAGGCAGCAGUGAGGAAUAUUGGUCAAUGGACGAGAGUCUGAACCAGCCAAGUAGCGUGCAGGAUGACGGCCCUAUGGGUUGUAAACUGCUUUUAUAAGGGAAUAAAGUGGGAGUCGUGACUCCUUUUGCAUGUACCUUAUGAAUAAGGACCGGCUAAUUCCGUGCCAGCAGCCG